GCGGGCCCGCGGCCGCCCGGAGGACACUGAUGCUUCUGGAGCUCGCGAAGGGUCCCCCGCGGGAGAGGAACAAGGCCGCUUGCGCUCCGCAGAGGCGCAGGCACGGGGCUGGGGCCCGGGGCGGGGGCGCGGGUGGGCGGACCCCUCCCGCAAGCCCAUGAUGGCCAGGCCAAGGCCGCUGGGAAAGGCAGGACGCUCGCCCAUGCGCUGCCAGCUGGGCUUUUCUCCUUCGCCCGCCCUGUGUUCCAGGGCGCGACCCCGUUCGGUCCAGCCGCUGGCUCCGGGGCUGAACCCCAGGUAGAACUGGAAGAUUUUGCUGAAAGAUUGGACAUGGCAUUCAGAGAAACAGAGGUUUUAAUGACAAACUCCAAGUUUUUGGCUGGAGCAACUGGAAGAAUGAGGUUGCCAUGAACCGAAAAGAGAGAUUGCAGAAGUAACCAAAUUUACUCACGUAGGCCAGGAAUUUCUAUGACGUGUUCCAAAUUCAGCCUCUCACUGAACACUUCCAGAGCAAGGCAACAUAAACAUCUGCAAGAAGAACAUUGUGUGAGAAAUAUCAAGUGAGAGUGGAAGAGUCUGCGGAGGGCCUCCCUGGGGCUCACCUGUGCUUUUGCCUGAGCUUCACCGUGUCAAGCACUUUUUCCCUCUGGAGGAAGCAGCUUUCACCUUGGAAGAAUCUUGACCUUGCCAUUCAAAGUCACCAGACAGGGAAUCUGCCAGUGCCUUGAUCUUAGACUUCCCAGCUUCUGUAACUGUGAGCAAUAAAUGUAUGCUGCUUAUAAACUAUCCAGUCUCAUGCAUUUUGUUAUAGCAAUAUAAACAGAUGAAGACAGACAUAAACAUAUCUUUUUGAGAGAUGCAAUGCAACCCAUACCACCAGGAUUGCCACAUGUUUGCUGAUUUCACCUGGUAGCAAGGCUUAGCUAUCUUGGCUUGAAUGUAAUACCUCCAUCUUUUCUCUUGGUCAUCCUCUUUAAGCAGAGGACUUUUAUCUACCCAAGCAGAAUCCUGUGUUCUUGCUAUUCGAAGUGCAGCCCAGCCUCCUGCAGCCACCACAUCACUUGUGAUGCUUGACAGAAAUGCAGACUCUCUGUUCCCACCUCAAACCUACUGACUUGGGAAUCUGCAGCUUACCAAGAUCUCCAGGUGAUCCACGUACACGUCAAACUUUGAAAAGCAGUGGUUUGCAGAACAAAAAGGAUUCAGCUUCUGAUAUGGUUUGGAUUUGUGUCUGUACCCAAAUCUCAUGUCAAAUUGUAAUCCCCAGUGUUGGAGGAGGAGCCUGGUGAAAGGUAAUUGGAUCACGGGGGCAAACUUCCCCCUUGCUGUUAUCAUGAUAGUGAGUGAGUUCUCAUGAGAGCUGGUUGUUUAAAAGUUUAAAAGCACCUCCCCCUUCGCUCUCUCUUCCACCUUCUCCAGCAAUGUAAAAUGAACCUGCUUCCCCU
rnacentral:lncRNA from 10 species